rfam:Gossypium arboreum cultivar AKA8401 contig_20395_5, whole genome shotgun sequence.
AUUCUUUGUACCUUUCCCAUGCCUCAUAUAAGGACUCAUCAUCCAUUUGUUGGAAAGCAGUAAUCUCAUUCC